CGGGGAGAGGCCGCCGGCCGGGGCGCCGUGGGAGGCGGGGCGGCUGCGCUCGAUGUCUCUCACUACAGAAACCAAGCAUUUGUCCGACUGACCCCGACAGCUUUUGGAAGACUAAGAUCUCACUUCCAUGAUGGAAGGCCUGAGAUCUCUUCGACUUACUACUGAUGUCAGAACCCUUUCCCAAACGCAGCAACCAUGCAGUCUCAAGAAAUUUGGAGAUGGGCUUCUUGUGUUUGUAGCAUGGAUACCAAUUGCAACUCUCUAUGCUAUCUUUGUAAAAGAGGAUAUGAAUAGCACAAUAUGUUAGAUAUGAAAUGAUUUUGUCAUGAAUACACCUGUAGGAAUAUAAAAGAAGUAUAUGAUUGAUCAGUGAAAUUAAAGUUGGGUAUAUAGCCCAUAAUCUUAGGGGAAAUAACUGAACAAUAUUUGCACCGUUUUUUUUAAUAUACGUCAGUAGCUGCAACUUGUGACUUAGCUGAAGCGGAUCUGAAUUUUCCAAUAUGCUUCCAUUAUGUUAUGUCUACAUUAGCAAAUAAUUCAGUGCAUGUGAAGCAGAUAAACAGACUGAAGUAGCUGGUGCUAAGGCUCCUCAGAUUUCCGUUAUAUGCAGCAAAAGGGUUUUACUUAUGCUUAGAUAUAGUCUGGUCUCCUGUGCCAAACAUGGUCCUGAACUGGCUGAAGCAGUGCUACUGUACAAACCUUGACUUCCUCCACUGCAGGCUUCUCUGGGAGCACCAUUUCGUCCUUGCCCCUAUCCCAUGCAGAGAGCAGCAGCACAUCGGUGCCACGUCAGUGCCCUGCCAUCAUUGCUCGUAGAAGACUCCUCCCUAUUCCUGAGUGACAUUGUUAUGCCUGGCAACUGCCCUACCUUCCAGUUCCAAGUUUGUACAUCAUCUUCUGCAAGGGGUCAAAGCACCAGCAGAGGUGAACUAUAUGGACUUAAAAAAUAGAUUAAAGCUUUAAUCUUAGAAAAAUGCUGGCUCACUCUCAAAUCUAGAAGAUUACCAGGCACUAAAUCAGUUGCUAUAAAAGACUCCCCAAAAGGAAGCUGAAACAUUUUAAGAUAAUGGCUAAUUCCUGGUUAAAAAAAGAACCACCAUAUGUUUAAUGAUGAAAAGUAUGUCCUUAUAUUUUACAUAGAAAAAACUUCCAUCACUUUUAAAUUUUUCUGAGCGCUCCCUCUGUCUACCUCUCUUUGAAGUUUACACUGCAGUCUUGUGGUAGGAAAGCCAGUUAUUUACUUACAAACAUAUAAAUGGUUAAUGUCAAUUUACUGCAAGUCCAGCUGUUUUAUAGAAAAAUAAUGAUAUACACUGAGAAUUUAAACAGUAGAAAUUUAAAACACAUUAAUAAAUAAUCACGAAAAGUAAGUAUAUCUGUAAUCAUGGUAAUAUUAUUUCACACUUCAAUUCACCCCAAAUCAGAAAAUAGCAGCAUGAGAGAUCCUCUCAUCUCAGUUUUGCCAUCUGUGUUCGUAACACUCAGAAUUUCUGUUCAGGCACAAGAUAAUCCCCGAUUAUUUCAAGCUAGACAGAUAUGAAACCCUUAGCUACUACUAGUUUUUCAUGUAAGCAGUUACUUUAGCCACCGUAAAGAUUACUGGAAAUACAAACGGGAGCAGAGGCGGUCUCAGUAUAAGAAAAUGAGGAGGGAGUCGGGGUUGCUGAUUCGGUGCAGGCCCUCCUGAGGAGGAGAAGCAGGCUGGUGUGGGAGAGGGCGAUCUGCACAAGCAGCGGCGGCAAGGAAGGGGGGCUUCCUGCCAGGGAAAGAGGAGUCAGGGAGCUCUGCGAUACCUAAGAUAGGAAGGACGGUCAGUUCACUCGUUACUGAAUGGGAAUGGAGAUGUUUGUACCCAACUAACUUAACUAUUAAGAAGCGAUAGUCAUAGCAGGGAAGUUUAAAAACUCACCGUUUAAGCAUGUAGAAGUUUACUCAGCACACUGAUCUCCAAAAUCCUGUCCAGCAGUUACUCCAAAAGCAGUAAGCCUUUCUAAUCAAGUAUCUUUACUUAAUCUACCAUCUUAAUCCCUACACAGUUUCUCAAAACUAGGACUUGGCCCUUAUUUCACUGGUUUAUAUGUACUUCCCAGAACCCAUGAAAUUUGAUGAAGUAGCUGACAUCCAGCUUUGUCAUGUAAAGGCUUCUGAUCUUUUUCUGUCAGGCUUGAGUGACUCAGCUUGAAUCUGUGAACAAUAAAAUACGGUAACAUUGAUUCAACAAUUCCUGCAGCUCCAUGUGCCUUCAUGAUCUCUCUCAAUCUUCCAAAUCAGUUAACAUGCCAAUAAGGCUUUCCUCACUGACUGAAGCCUUGCAUAGGGGAUUUUGAAAUAUCCUUUGACAAAGAGCAAGUCUGUCUUUCAAUCAAUACUCACACUGAUAUAAAAAUGUUUCAUAAAAAAGUCCUCACACUGUAAUUCUGCCAGAGAAGAUAGGAGGCAACUACAAUGAAAUGACAAAAGGGAAAAAACCCAUGUUCUGAGCUUAUUGUUUGUUUUACUUUAUUAUGUCAAAGAACUGUAACUCCUUUAGGAUGUAUGAUCCAACUGAAUUCAAUUUCUGAUGGAUGCAUUUGCUCAGACUUGUUCAGAACCUUAUGAGCAAUAUCUGUUAGAAUUGUGUCUACCUUUGAACUGAGCUGAAGAUACAUAACCUUACCUAAGUUUCUCUCUGCUUUAUGAGAAAAAUGUCUUGAUGCUCUAAGAUGAACAAUAAGCUGAAAAAAAUGUAUUUCCUUAGUUAUCUGAUAUGUAGAACUACAUACCAUCUAUGAUUACACAGAAGUAAUACUUGCUUUACAACAGUAAUUCCUAAUGUUUUUCAGCUGAAUGAACUUAACUUUUUCAUGGAAGCACACUAAAACCCACUUUACGUUCUUCCUCUGUCUUCUGUUUUUCACACAGCCACGCACUUGCACCAAAUGUAACACUUCAGUGAUAAAACUACAGCAAUGUAAAGCUAUGAGGUAUUUCUGAAAAACCUCCACUGGCACUGGGAGCAUCUACACGACAGUAAGGUAUACAAUCAUUGGUAUUCUCUGAAAAAAUAGUGGAGAAAUUUUUGUCAAAUUUACAAAACAGCUAAAACCUGCUAUGUAUAUAAAAAAAAUGGGGGGUGUGUGCACGUGCAUGCACAUGUGUGUAAAAUUAGAAAAGGGAAAUAUACUUACUUUCCUCAAAAAAGCAAAAUGGAUAUUUAUUAUUCAUUAGCACUGACACACAGCCUAAGAAUUUUCAAUUAAAAUUAAAGUAGUUUCCUGUCUGAAACAACUGGGGUACACUUCUCUUUGGACUGUCAAGAAUGAGUAUCAAGAAGCCACUAAAAUACUGAACUACAUUAUAUUUCACUGCAAUAUGUAUUUCAUUUUCUAGCAACGCUGACUAGAAUUUUCUAUUAUAAGAAAAAAGCAGGAAAAGUUUUACAUGCACGUUACAGCGUGCUUUGGCUUUACUUCAAAAAUACUGAUGCUCACACUUACCUUCUGGCCAACGAUCUAUGGUCAGAGGAUUCUGGAUCUCAUUUCUGAGGUGACCUACCUGGUAACUAGUUGACUGUCCUUCUUCUCCCCCCUCCAGUUCAACUAC